UACGUAGGUGGCAAGCGUUGUCCGGAAUUACUGGGUGUAAAGCGCGUGUAGGCGGCAGGCCAAGUCUGCGGUGAAAGCGCCCGGCUCAACUGGGCGAGGUCCGUGGAAACUGGUCAGCUGGAGGACGGUAGAGGCGAGUGGAAUUCCUGGUGUAGCGGUGAAAUGCGCAGAUAUCAGGAAGAACACCCGUGGCGAAGGCGGCUCUCUGGGACGGUACUGACGCUGAGACGCGAAAGCGUGGGGAGCGAACAGG
rnacentral:rRNA from 1 species